rnacentral:misc_RNA from 1 species
GGAUAAGGCAUCUGACUUUUAAUCAGAGGAUUGUGCGUUCGAAUCGCAUCGUCUCCUUUUUCUUUCUAUUAAAACCCAUGGCCUCUUCUACUUCACUCUCCUCUCCUCUCCUUUUUCCAGGUGCCACUUCAUGCGACCUACACCUCCCUCCCGCCCAUUCCCAUCACGUCCCACUCCAACAGACCCUCUAAUCUCUCUGUCAAAAACGCCUCAUCCGCUUUCUCCUCUCAAGUAAGAAA